CCAUCACCUGUUCUAGAAUCAAACUAUGAUCAAUUCUGUAAAGAAAUUAGUCAUUGAUCAAUUCACUAAUUAGAUGGUUUAAUGGAAAUAUAUAUAUACCAGUGGCUGUCAGGCAGCCUCCUGUCCUUCAGAAUAGGCCUCUGCCACUCCUCGAUCAGACUCCAACUUCAUGUAUUCUACACACAGGCACAACAAAGCUUUAAGAAAUAUCAAUCUUCACAAAGACUGAGAAAUCUUCAUCGGCAAGUGAUCCUUGGAAAUCUCACCGAGAAGGGGGUAGAAACAUAAGACAUGAGACCUAUAAAAUUUCAGAUAGAAGUGUGAAAUAUGAAGAACCAUUUUCUAACAACAUUUCUCCACCCUUCGUGACAGAAGAAACUUGAUAAUGAUA
rnacentral:lncRNA from 1 species